rnacentral:lncRNA from 1 species
UUUAGAUAUAUAUGCUUGUGUUUAGGAGGUGUGAGUAGUUCAUAUAGUUGCAUUUGCAUGAAUCAUGAUAGUUGUCUUCCAAGUUGAUUUCCUAUGAUGAGGUUAUGUGCAUAAUUUUUUGGCUAGUAGUUUUGAUCAUAUGUGAUGCCUUGUUUCUUGGAAACUGCUUGUGUAAAAAUUGUAAUUACACUUAUGCUCUAGAGAUAAGACUUAGACUAACUUAUUUUUUGAGUCUUCACGUUGAGUCGGGCGUAGAAUUAGGAUUAUUCCCCUUUUGAACGUAGAGUUUGUAAAUCUUAAGUUUGGGGGAGUUAAGGGAUGAAUAUGCC